rnacentral:snRNA from 1 species
AGUUUAUAAACUGCCGCCAAAUUAUCCCUUAAAAUCGGAACGAUACAGAGAAGAUUAGCAUGGUCCUGACGCAAGGAUGACACGCACAAAUUGAGAAACGGUCCAAAUUUUU